CCCCAGCUCCGGGAGUCCCAGGUGUCCCAUUCUGUGAUCAGGACAGAACACAGACCUCUCACCAUGGAGUUUGUGCUUGGCUGGGUUUUCCUUGCUGCUGUUUUAAAAGGUGUCCAGUGUGAGGUGCAGCUGGUGGAGUCUGGGGGAGGCCUGGCAAAGCCUGGGGCCUCCCUGCGACUCUCCUGUGCAGCCUCUGGAUUUGACUUCAGUAAAUAUGCCAUGAGCUGGGUCCGCCAGGCUCCCCAGAAGGGGCUGGAGUGGGUGUCAGGUAUUAAUUAUGAUGGAAGUAGCAUAGGCUAUGCGGACUCCGUGAAGGGCCGAUUCACCAUCUCCAGAGACAACGCCAAGAACACGCUCUCUCUGCAAAUGAACAACCUGAGAGUCGAAGACACGGCCAUGUAUUUCUGUGCUAGAGACACAGUGAGGGGACGUCAGUGUGAGCCCAGACACAAACCUCCCUACCGGCAAAAAUCCAGAAGCAAAAAGGGAAAAGCUUUCUGCGCCUACAACUGGAAGAUGUACCCAGAAAAAUUAGGCAAUAAAAGGAAAUAA